rnacentral:lncRNA from 1 species
UCUUGCCAAUUUCCAUGCAUUUACGGCAAAUAAUCUCAUUGUCAAAAGUUGAUGCAUUGUUUUCAACUAAUAAUCUCAUUGUCAAAAGUUGAUGCAUUGUUUUCAACUAUUACUGCCAUUGUCUUCAACUAUUACGGCUAAGUUUGCCUAUAAAUUGAGCUUGCAGCAACAUUUCAUUAUUCACCACCUCUCCCACAAUUUCACUCACCCCAUUCUCGCAAGAAGUAGAAGGUUCACUCUUUAUCUCAUCAGCCAAAGUCCUCCUUCAUCCCACACAACACUCUCUCGCCAAGAAAAAAAAAACUCAGAUUCCAUAUUUUAGAUUCAAGAACCAAGCUUUAAAUCACAACUUUACAUACUUUUAAGCUCAAGUGAGCUCCCUUCGCCGGGCCGUUUAUUCGCCGACCGGCCACUAGGCUCUGAACCGAGAACGUGUACUCGUUCCUCCAUCUUCAGGCUACCAAACCCAACAAUCGAAAGGCCGAAACCUUCUCUAUAUUUUCC